UCAAGCGAAUAAGAGCUCACGAUGGAUACCUUGGUGUUCAGAAGCGACGAAGGGCGUGGCUACCUGCGAAAUGUC
rnacentral:rRNA from 13 species